UACAGAGGUGGCAAGCGUUGUUCGGAAUUACUGGGCGUAAAGGGCGAGUAGGUGGCCAUCUAAGUCAGACGUGAAAUCCCCCGGCUUAACCUGGGAACUGCGUCUGAUACUGGAUGGCUUGAAUCCGGGAGAGGGAUGCAGAAUUCCAGGUGUAGCGGUGAAAUGCGUAGAUAUCUGGAGGAACACCGGUGGCGAAGGCGGCAUCCUGGACCGAUACUGUCGCUGAGGAGCGAAAGCCAGGGGAGCAAACGGG
rnacentral:rRNA from 1 species